rnacentral:rRNA from 1 species
CCUACGGGGUGCAGCAGUGGGGAAUAUUGGGCAAUGGGCGCAAGCCUGACCCAGCAACGCCGCGUGAAGGAAGAAGGCUUUCGGGUUGUAAACUUCUUUUCUGAGGGACGAAGAAAGUGACGGUACCUCAGGAACACGCCACGGCUAACUACGUGCCAGCCGCCGCGGUAAUACGUAGGUGGCAAGCGUUAUCCGGAUUUAUUGGGUGUAAAGGGCGUGUAGGCGGGAAAGCAAGUCAGAUGUGAAAACUCAGGGCUCAACCCUGAGCCUGCAUUGGAAACUGUUUUUCUUGAGUGCUGGAGAGGCAAUCGGAAUUCCGGGUGUAGCGGUGAAAUGCGUAGAUAUAAGGAGGAACACCAGUGGCGAAGGCGGAUUGCUGGACAGUAACUGACGCUGAGGCGCGAAAGCGUGGGGAGCAAACAGGAUUAGAUACCCGGGUAGUC